CCUACGGGAGGCAGCAGUAGGGAAUAUUGGUCAAUGGGCGAAAGCCUGAACCAGCCAUGCCGCGUGCAGGAUGAAGGCCCUAGGGUUGUAAACUGCUUUUGUAUGGGAAUAGGUACCAUAAGAAUAAGCACCGGCUAACUCCGUGCCAGCAGCCGCGGUAAUACGGAGGGUGCAAGCGUUAUCCGGAUUUACUGGGUUUAAAGGGUGCGUAGGCGGCUUUUUAAGUCAGUGGUGAAAGCCUAGUGCUCAACAUUAGAACAGCCAUUGAAACUAAUAAGCUUGAGUCAAGGAGAGGUAAGCAGAAUUUAUGGUGUAGCAGUGAAAUGCUUAGAUAUCAUAAGGAAUACCAAUAGCGAAGGCAGCUUACUGGCCUUGACUGACGCUGAGGCACGAAAGCGUGGGGAGCAAACAGGAUUAGAUACCCUUGUAGUC
rnacentral:rRNA from 1 species